GUGUCAGCCGCCGCGGUAAUACGUAGGCAGCGAGCGUUGUUCGGAGUUACUGGGCGUAAAGAGUGCGUAGGCGGUUUUCUAAGUUUGGUGUGAAAUCUCCCGGCUCAACUGGGAGGGUGCGCCGAAGACUGGAAGACUAGAGUGUGGGAGAGGUAAGCGGAAUUCCUGGUGUAGCGGUGAAAUGCGUAGAUAUCAGGAGGAACACCUGCGGUGUAGACGGCUUACUGGACCACCACUGACGCUGAGGCACGAAAGCGUGGGUAGCAAACAGGAUUAGAUACCCCUGUAGUCC
rnacentral:rRNA from 1 species